GACGAACGCUGGCGGCAUGCUUUACACAUGCAAGUCGAACGGUAACAGGCCGCAAGGUGCUGACGAGUGGCGAACGGGUGAGUAAUGCAUCGGAACGUGCCCAGUCGUGGGGGAUAACUGCUCGAAAGAGCAGCUAAUACCGCAUACGAUCUAUGGAUGAAAGCGGGGGACCGUAAGGCCUCGCGCGAUUGGAGCGGCCGAUGUCAGAUUAGGUAGUUGGUGGGGUAAAGGCUCACCAAGCCAACGAUCUGUAGCUGGUCUGAGAGGACGACCAGCCACACUGGGACUGAGACACGGCCCAGACUCCUACGGGAGGCAGCAGUGGGGAAUUUUGGACAAUGGGGGCAACCCUGAUCCAGCAAUGCCGCGUGCAGGAAGAAGGCCUUCGGGUUGUAAACUGCUUUUGUACGGAACGAAACGGUCUGGGUUAAUACCCUGGGCUAAUGACGGUACCGUAAGAAUAAGCACCGGCUAACUACGUGCCAGCCGCCGCAGUAAGAC
rnacentral:rRNA from 1 species